GUCUCUGUGAAGACAAAGGAGAACAAGUUAGCACAACGGAGAAGUCUCAAAGGUCUACUUUUCCAGCAAGAAAACUUGUGUGCUUCUCGAUGGGAAGGGGCAAGUCUAUCCAGGCCCUCCACAUUUUAUCCUGCAGUCAGCCAAGCCAGCAAGGAGCGUUUUGGCCCUUUUGGGGUAAUUUAGAAUUACUUUCUAAAAUCGGUGUUAGGCUGCUGGCUUUCACGGAGGGAGUCAGGCAGCCAACAGAUAUUUGCAGAGGGGCCACUAAGUGCCAGACACGAUGCCAGGCACAGGGUUCACUGCGGAGGGAACAGCCCUGCUGGGAUCUUUCUUCCUUGACAGUAGGUGCAUCUGAAUCUGGGGGUCACUGCAUCUGCAUGUGGUAUCCCCUCUACGAGGACCUGCAGGUGAAGCCUGUGAGUCCUCACAGCCAGGAGGGCUCUGCCUCACCCUCACGGGUUCCUCUGCCUUUACUGUCACUGUAGGUAAUGGGCUGGUUCCAUCUGCCCCUCUGCUCUGGCGGCUCGAAGGUGGGGAGUGAAAUCCACAGUCCAUGGCUGGCAGCACACACAACUCCAAAACAGAGCCUGGGCCCACUGAGGCCGCCUCACUCCCAUGCACCGCCCCACGUGCAUCUCCAUAAGCAUCUCCUCGAAACCCUCUCUGCUGGUGUUGAGAGAGAUACACUGACGAUUCAUUCGGGAGUGUGUGUCUCAUUACCAUCACUCUGCUCCAUAUGCUAACUUUGGACCCCUGACCGAGAUGUUUCUUUAACAGGCGUAUGUCAGUAGUCUUGCCUUUAAAACCCAAAUAACGAAGGGCAAAAAUACCUGCCCCACCAAAGGCACAAGUCUCUUUCCCUGCUUGCCAAUCAAUCCUGUGAUGGGGAUGCCAGCGCAACACCUUCCACAGGGGCGGUCCCUUUCUGGACCGUCUGAGCGCAAAAUCGCAUCACCAGAACACAUCCAGAAGUCCCAAGACUCCCAAGUUCUACCUAGAAGCUCCUACUGCCAAGUGCUCUCCACUGCACCAUCGCCCCAGUAACAGUGUCCCUUUAGGAGCCCAGCAGCCCCAGGUAAGUUGAACACCACCGCUUCACCUAACAGGUGGGGAGUCCCUGACUCAAGUCUCAGAGGGGUACUGGGCACACAGGGGCAGAAUCUGCCAAGAAACAUGCCGACUUCUGCCAGGGUGGCUUUGAGGCCAUGUGCCCGCCAUGUGUGCUACAUCUUUACAGAGAAUUACAGAAAUAAGACGACUUGAUUUUUAAAAGAACGGCUGGGAAAGAAAUUAAUGAGCCAUGCAAGCUCACUGCAUGAACAUUAGACCCUAGAAAGUAGGCUGCUAACAAAGGACCCCAGGCAGGAAGAACGGAGGCCUGAACGCCACACAGCAUGCGGGCCCAGGGCUGGGGACCAUGCAUUGGGCAGUUACUCAGCAGCAGGUGUCACUGCUUACUGCCGUAAAACGGCAUGGCUGGUCCUCUUAAAUUAAUAGGCACGUGGCAAGCCAGCCUUGGGGACACAGCCAGUAUUUUCAUCCCCCACCUCCUCUUUAUCCUCCUGCCUGGUGACCUACCUAUAAACAGCACCUGACCUGCACUAAUGCCAACAACCUAAAACCCAGCGCUGCUCUGGCAGGAUUUCCAUUAGACCUUCGUGCAAUUUUCUCAGCAAGGGGUUACAGAGAUAAUUUACAUGGCCAGAGCAGGGCUUUUUUUUGAUGGUGGAGGGAGGUGCAAGGAUGAUGGGAUGGUGAACGGUGGAUUAAGAGGCCUCCACUCCCCCAUCACAGCUCUGCCAGACCUUGCUGUGCCCACUGGGCCCAGACUACCCCAGCACUCUUGAUCCCACAAACACAACUGUACCUGAUCGCCCAGGGCCUAAGGGUGUCUGCAGCUCGCUCCAUCACUGGCCUUGUCAGGCAGGCCUACACCAGCUAACUCAGGCCUGGGAAGCCAGACUGCUGUCCUGAUUUUGGUACAGUGGCUCCCAAUUCCUGCACCUUACAUUUCACCAGAACCAAAUCAAAUCCCAGUUUUUCUAGGAUCACUUCAUUGUUACUCUAUUUACCAUGUGUGGAGAAAUUUCAGGACAUAAAAACUUCUAGCAGCACGGUUAGGAGUAAAUUUUAUUUUGGGCCUUAAAAAACACAACAAAAAACUGCAUGAGAACUCAAAAACUAGUAUGAUCAAGUAAAAACAGUAUUGCUUUGCAAUAGUGAGGUAUGAACAGCAUUUAUAGCACCAUUAAAAAUAAAUGUUACUGCAAUGACAAAACACAUUAAAAACCUUCACUCCCGUAUUAAGAAGCUGCACUGUGGCCAGGCGCGGCGGCUCACGCCUGUAAUCCCAGCACUUUGGGAGGCCGAGGAGGGUGGAUCACUUUAGGUCAGGAGUUCGAGACCAGCCUGGCCAACAUGGUGAAACCCUGUCUCUACUAAAAAUACAAAAAUUAGCUGGGCAUGGUAGUGCGAACCUGUAAUCCCAGCUGCUCUGGAGGCUGAGGCAGGAGAAUCACUUGAACCCAGGAGGCGGUGGCUGUGUGCAGUGAGCCAAGAUCACGUCAUUGCAUUCCAGCCUGGGCGACAAAGUCAGACUCCAUCUCAAAAGAAACAACAACAAAAAAAAACAGUGCACUGAGACGACCCUAAGUAGACACAUGGAUGUAACUUACAGAUAACAUCCUGUGCCAAUCUACUUCAAUCCCCCUGUGGGGGCCUAAUUAAAUGUUACUGUGACACACUGGCAAUGGUGGACUGAGCACACCAGUUUAAGCAACCGCAGACCAAAAAAAAAAAAAACCGACCUUGGAUCCACCUGUAUUGUGGUAAGGGUUUCUCACUUGCCUUACCCAUUGUUUUUCUCUGUCAAUCAUGUGCUUGACAGCAGGGAAAACACGUGCUUCUCUGGGGGCGCCCUGUGUCUCAGCAAUAUCAGGGUGAGUGGCAGGCAGGCAGCAGUGUCUGUGGGCAGCAACAGCAGCGUGCUGGCCCUCACUUCCAAUCAGAGUGUCUACUGUGGGUGCUGGCCACUGGUAGAGGCUUACACCCAUGCUCUCUAAGCCUCAAAAUUACCUUUCAAGAUACGCUUUUUGUGUGAAUGGGUAAUACAUUAUUAAUUCACAUAAAAGUAUACAGUAGAAAGCCUUACAUUCUUCUACUCCAUUCCGGAUCCUCUGUCCUGAGUCACUGUACUAGUUUCUCAUUUCUCUCUCCAGAGUGUCUUUGUGCAUGUACAAGGCAAAUAUGAAUACGCAUUUAUCCACUCUUCUUUUUCAUACCAAAGGGAGCAUACUAUGCACUGUCUCACCUCUGCUUUCUCAUUCCAUAUCUUUUUUUUUUUUUUGAGACAGGGUCUCGCUCCAUCACUCAGGUUGGAGUGCAGUGGUGCAAUCACGGCUCACUGCAGCCUUGACCUCCCAGGCCGAAGCAAUCCUCCCACCUCAGCCUCCUGAGUAUAGCUGGUGCUUCAGGUUCAAGUGGGAUGAGAAGACAGUGAAAUUUAUGUGAUCUGAUGAUGAUAAGUGCUGUGGAGAAAAAUAAACCAGGGAGAGAAGAGAACGUGCUGGGGAGAAGGGGACUCUAGUGAUUUCAAUGUUGAAUAGGAUGGCCAAGAAAGGCCUCUUCCUCUGCUGGUGCUGGACAGCUGAGCAAGACAGAAGGACAGAAAGACAGCAAAUAUCAGGCUAAGAGGAUGUUUGGGGAAGUGUACCCCCACAGAGAACAACUUCAAGGACUCCGAGGCGGAGAGACACAGCCGAACCAGUGCCAGGGGAACAGACGGGCCCAUCAGACCCCAAAGCGAGCAUGCUGUCUCCCGUUCCACAGACACACAUCACCUGGCUCCGACGACCAGCCUGCAGGGCCACUCCCAAGCGUUCUAAGGAACAGGGCACCAGCCUGUCUCAGACCCCAGGCCAGUGUGGGAAGCACAGUCAUUUAACUUACAUGACUCUGGCUUAUUUGGAUUGGGUUUGACAAAAGAGGAAGAGAACAGAACACAUUUUUCUCCUGUCUUUCAAAUUAAGAAAGAAAUACCUAGAACAUUUAAUUAAAUAAAUACAAGAAUAAAAAUUAUGCAGUCCA